UUUUUUUUAGUCUAAGAAUUCACUUCGUUAGUCUAAAAUUAAAAUAAUAAUAAUAAUAAUAAAACAGAGCGCUGAUUAUGUAUGAUAUUAACUAGGUUUCAUUUCUGAGUUUCGAUCUUUAGACCUGUAUGCAUCCACAACAGGAGCGAAAAACGCUUACUUAAAAUUGUCAAAACUGCGUAAGCUUGCUUACACUUUGCGUCAGUAUUGACUGUUUAGAGUUGAAUUUAUAAGAAAAAACAGCUGUAAAUUGAAAAUAAGAUAAAUUCCGAACAAAAUCAUUUACUUAUCAGCAGCUCUCCCAAACCCAAACUUUUAAAUUUGUGAAAGGUAAAUAAAUAAUACUCCAAUUGUCUAAUUAACACUCUUACUAUGCCAAGUGUUGAAGGAUUGUGUACCCAUACAACGCCUUAUUGAUAAAGCGCAAAUUGACCAAAAAAUAAUAAAAACUCUUCACUCCAUUAGUCUUAUCACCAACUGGGCUAAUUCAUUUUACUAAACGAAACAAACAAAAGGUGGAAUAGGAACCAUUCCUUACAUCAUGUCAUUUAGCACUAGCGGAACAUCGAGAUUGGCGGAAAAGGAAUCUUGUAAUACGUAUAAGGGCUCUGCGGGGCUCUUCAAACCCUUUUACCUUACGCGAAAGUAACAAAAAUUUGGCGCGCCAAAAAGGCGUUUGAGUACGUUUUAAGAAAAAUUGACGGAAAUGAGUCCGUAAGAAGAGCCACCGUUGAUCUCUUUAGGCCUUACUUAGGAGUUGUUGGGGUAAGGUUUGCGACAACGACAUAACAAUUACAGAAAUAAACAUUAGAUUUUCUGGAUCAAGUUACAACACGCAUGUGUGGAGGCAUUCCAAUGACCUUACUUGGAAAACCAUUGGACUAGAAAUCAAAGUAAUGUUUAGACCCUUGGUAAGCAAUAAUAAUCAUGUGGGGCAAUAUGUAUAUGUACCAUUUAAAUGCUUUUAAGUGGUAGAGGACACCCUUUAGAGCCGUGAUUAACGAUGCCGCACAGUACUCCAGCCCAUCACAUCAAACAGAAACACAACGAAAUGCAGUGCAAGGCGGGGGAUAUUGUUGAGACGUGUAUAAAGGUUAGGAUUAAAUUCAUUUUUCAAAGACAAUUAAGCUUUUAUAUACUUUAAGACCGAUAGCGUAUUUUAAUAGAAAAGCAGAAAAGCAGAUACGAUCUAAGGACGACGGGUAGAUUUGCAAAUGUUUGCGAAGCGCUUCACAACAUUUUCGUACAGUAUAAAGUGCAAAUUCCAGAAAUUCGGGAUUUAACUUGUACAGCUCCCGCGUCUUACUUUGACGAUUCUGUAGACGUUUCACUCCACAAUCUCUCCAUUGAAAAGAACAAAUGAGGAUAUAAGAAGCGGAAUAUCUUUUGCACUUCCAAAAUUGAAUUGUAAUUAAAUAAAAUAUAUAAAGAAUAAAUCUGCUUUAAA